AUGGAAAGCGGCGGACGGGUGAGUAACGCGUAGGCAACCUGCCCUUCACACAGGGAUAGCCACUGGAAACGGUGAUUAAUACCUGAUAACGCCGGAGUAAUGCAUAUUACAUCGGCCAAAGAUUUAUCGGUGAGGGAUGGGCCUGCGUCUGAUUAGCUAGUUGGUGAGGUAACGGCCCACCAAGGCGACGAUCAGUAGCCGACCUGAGAGGGUGAUCGGCCACAUUGGAACUGAGACACGGUCCAAACUCCUACGGGAGGCAGCAGUAGGGAAUCUUGCACAAUGGGCGAAAGCCUGAUGCAGCAACGCCGCGUGAAGGAUGAAGGCCUUCGGGUUGUAAACUUCUGUUCUUAGGGAAGAAGAAAGUGACGGUACCUAAGGAGCAAGCCCCGGCUAACUACGUGCCAGCAGCCGCGGUAAUACGUAGGGGGCAAGCGUUAUCCGGAAUUAUUGGGCGUAAAGCGUGCGUAGGUGGUUACCUAAGCGCAAGGUUUAAACUAUCGGCUUAACUGAUAAUUGCCUUGCGAACUGGGCUACUUGAGUGCAGGAGGGGAAAGCGGAAUUCCUAGUGUAGCGGUGAAAUGCGUAGAUAUUAGGAGGAACACCAGCGGCGAAGGCGGCUUUCUGGACUGUAACUGACACUGAGGCACGAAAGCGUGGGGAGCAAACAGGAUUAGAUACCCUGGUAGUCCACGCCGUAAACGAUGAGCACUAGGUGUUGGGGCCGAAUGGCUUCAGUGCCGCAGUUAACGCAUUAAGUGCUCCGCCUGGGGAGUACGCUCGCAAGAGUAAAACUCAAAGGAAUUGACGGGGACCCGCACAAGCAGCGGAGCAUGUGGUUUAAUUCGAAGCAACGCGAAGAACCUUACCAGGGCUUGACAUCCCUCUGAAAGACUCCUAACCGGAUCCUC
rnacentral:rRNA from 1 species